rnacentral:miRNA from 14 species
AGUCAGACUGUCCUUUCAAGCUUUGAAAUCAGGCACUGACUUCUCUCUAGCUGUGAAAGUCCUAGAUGACAU